CUGCGCCGGUGGCGGCUGGGCGCCCGCUAGCCGGCCCGGCCUCCGCCGCCCGCUAACUCGCAUCCCCGCUUCCCUCCCGCCGCGUCCCCGCGCGAAGAUGGCAGCCGACGGGCUGCACGAGAACGAGACGCUGGCGUCGCUCAAGAGCGAGGCCGAGAGCCUCAAGGGCAAACUGGAGGAGGAGCGGGCCAAGCUGCACGACGUGGAGUUGCACCAGGUGGCCGAGCGCGUGGAGGCCCUGGGGCAGUUUGUCAUGAAGACCAGAAGGACCCUCAAAGGCCACGGGAACAAGGUUCUGUGCAUGGACUGGUGCAAGGAUAAGAGGAGGCUCGUGAGCUCCUCUCAGGAUGGGAAAGUGAUCGUGUGGGAUUCCUUCACCACUAACAAGGAGCAUGCAGUCACAAUGCCCUGCACAUGGGUGAUGGCAUGUGCAUAUGCCCCAUCGGGAUGUGCCAUUGCAUGUGGUGGUUUGGAUAAUAAAUGUUCUGUGUAUCCUCUGACAUUUGACAAAAAUGAAAACAUGGCUGCCAAAAAGAAGUCUGUUGCUAUGCACACCAACUACCUGUCAGCCUGCAGCUUCACCAAUUCUGACAUGCAGGUAAAUCAGGGGCCUGGGAGAGGAAACUGUUCCCAUGUCCCUCUUCACAGGACUCUGCUGCAGAGCUUUCCAUGGGCAUGGGAGUGCGUGCUCUGUUUGGACCUGGCCCCCUCAGAGACCUGGACCACCUUCUUAUUCGGGGGAUGUGACAAGAACGCCGUUGGGUGGGACCUGCGCCCUGGACAGUGCAUGCAGGCCUUUCAAACACAAGAAUCUGACAUCACCAGUGUCUGAUACUAAUCUGGGUGGAGAUGCCUUUGCUUCGGGAUCAGAUGUGGCUGCUGCCUCUACCACCUCUGGGCAGCUUCCAGCGUGGACUUCUCCCUCAGUGUAUCCUGCUGGAUACAACGAUUAUACCAUCAACGUCGGGGAUGUCCUCAAGGGGUCCCCAGUUACCUCUUGUUUGAACAUGAAAACCAUGUUAGUACUCUAUGUGUUUCCCUUAAUGGGGCUGCCUUUUGCUCAGGAUCAUGAGAUCAUACCCUCAGAGUCUGGGCUUGA